rnacentral:rRNA from 1 species
UGGGGAAUAUUGGACAAUGGGCGAAAGCCUGAUCCAGCCAUGCCGCGUGUGUGAAGAAGGUCUUCGGAUUGUAAAGCACUUUAAGUUGGGAGGAAGGGCAUUAACCUAAUACGUUAGUGUUUUGACGUUACCGACAGAAUAAGCACCGGCUAACUUCGUGCCAGCAGCCGCGGUAAUACGGAGGGUGCAAGCGUUAAUCGGAAUUACUGGGCGUAAAGCGCGCGUAGGUGGUUCGUUAAGUUGGAUGUGAAAAGCCCCCGGGCUCAACCUGGGAACUGCAUCCAAAAACUGGCGAGCUAGAGUACGGUAGAGGGGUGGUGGAAUUUCCUGUGUAGCGGUGAAAUGCGUAGAUAUAGGAAGGAACACCAGUGGCGAAGGCGACCACCUGGACUGAUACUGACACUGAGGUGCGAAAGCGUGGGGAGCAAAACAGGAUUAGAUACCCUGGUAGUCCACGCCGUAAACGAUGUCAACUAGCCGUUGGGUUCCUUGAGAACUUAGUGGCGCAGCUAACGCAUUAAGUUGACCGCCUGGGGAGUACGGCCGCAAGGUUAAAACUUAAAUGAAUUGACGGGGUCAUAGCUGUUUCCUG